CCCUACGAUCAUACUACGUUGAACGCACCGCAUCCCGUCAGAUCUACGAACGUAACGAACGUUAGCCUGGGCUAGUACUACGGUUGGAGACGACGUCUGAACACUCAAUGCCAUAGGCC
rnacentral:rRNA from 1 species